GAUCCAACAAACAGGGGGCGCGGCGGUGGUUGUCGUAGCGGGAGCCCUAGGGUGGGCUUGGUUGGGUGCGCGUCGGUCGGUAGAAGGGUCUAGGAGUAGCAAAAGGGGCAGGUGGGUUAGGUGGGUCGGAGACUAGGUAGGCAAACACUGGCGGCCUACCUCUAGGUUACCGGUGGUUUCGCGGGCUCGGAGGGUGUCACGAGCUAAGUCUAGCCUAGCUCCGGAGGUACUCGCGUCGGGGCUCGAAGGCUAGCUCAGGGGAGGCGACGGAGCAGGUGCAGUUUCGGACGGUCUAGCGGCUUGGUGGCGGAGACGACACAGCGACGUUGUCCUCUGCUGGUGGUACCGUCGGGCUCCGUACCUCGAAGCGGCGCUGUCGCUGGAGGUACCUGGGGCUGGCGGCUGAGCCUCAAGGAGCGGCGGUUCGAAACUGGACGAGCCUCGGCAAGGGGUCCAGCAGCCUGGAGGGACGUUCGAGACAGCGGCGGUAGUUUGGACGAUGGGGACGUGCGCGCCAGGGACAAGCAACGGUCGAAGUGGGACGGAGACGAAGCUCACGCGCCAGCGGCGGAACCUCUUGGCUCGGGGACGCAGCUAGACCGCGAGCGGUAGUUCGGACGGCAGCGGUUCAGGGUGCAGCGGCCGUCGGUACAGGCGGCAGGCGGCGAGACAUGGAGUGCGGGGGCAACGACAAAGACGAAAAGUCUCUGCUCCCGUCGUCGCGAGCGGACGAGUAUGCACAACUGGCGGUGUGGCGCGGACCCGACGAAAGGGAGUUCGCGGUCGUCCGGGUUAGGGGAGGUGACUCGGCCCGGUGCCGGGUACCCACUCGGCGGGGGAGAGGACACGUGGAACCCGGGUCGUUAAAACAGGACGAAGACAAAAAAAAGGAAAGUCGCAAAAAGAAAAAAAGGUCUCCUCUCGUCAAAACGUCUUUUGGGGGACGACAAGUACGUAAAUUAUUGAGAGUUUGGCACGUAGGUUUAAUUUGUUUGAAUUAUACUUUGAACGAAUCUUAAAGUUGAUCAAAUUAUUAUACGUUGAAAGUAGGUACAAUUUUUACAAAUUUGACGACAAACACAUUAAAAAGAGGAUACAGUACGAUUUUACGAAAUAAAGUAUUGAUUUAUUGGCAUUGAGGCUUAAAUUAUUUGAAAUAUACAUUUACCCCAUCUUUUUACGGAUCUAAAUGAACCACGUGAGUAGAACGUACGAAUCGUUGAGAUUUUAACACAAAUCUGGUCUUGUCAUGGUUUGGAUUAUAUACGUGUACUCCUCAAAGGCCUGAACAACAGAAGAACAAGGCUGGAAUAAAUUUGAACGGAUCUAUCUAUCAAAGUCAUACGAAGUAGAGAACGGUACAAAUUGUUGUAAAUUAUAACAACCCAUGUAUUUGUUCUAGCUUUGAUUUGUUGAACUUACACCACAAAGAAAUUAUACGUUGAACAACGUAUAACUCGAGGUGAAUUGAACAUCAAAACGAACACGUGAAACGGUACGGUACGGAGUAAUUUGGCCUGUACGUAGUAUGGACUAACACGUAGUACGGUACAAUACGAACCAACAAAUGGAACAAUAAACGAAAAAAGGCCACAAUGAAGAAGCCCAACCAAGGCUAUUGCAGCGCAAACACUCCUAUACAAGUUGAAGCGGGCAAACAGAAGAAGUACCUGAGCAAGAAGAAGGAACGCCCUAAAGUCGAACGUCCACGGCAACUUGGCUCGUCCACUGCGUCGGUUCGAGUUCCUCCUCGAGCUACUUAUAGAACAGGAAACAUAACGAAGUAAGAUCAACUAGUCAUCACCUCGGGUCAGCCAUGCUAGCCCCUAGACACAUCGUAAACCCCAUCAGAAGAAAUUAAAACCAAGGCAUCAGUCUGGAACAAACAUAGACAAACUACAUUACGAAAUAAGUACAUUAACUCACUUCACCGCUAACAUUCGGUUGAUACAUAGAGAAAGGGAAUACAUAAUGUACCCAACACACUUCUAAUGG
rnacentral:rRNA from 1 species